AUGUCUGAGACAAAUGUUGUGCUCAGUGGAAAUCUGGAUAGGCUUAUUAUUCCUUAUAUUAGUUAACAAUUGGACAUAAUUGAUUAUUUACUCUUUGUUUAUUUAACCAAUCAACAUUCUCAUUAGCUUAUGCAAAUCUUGAAUAUAAAGAGGCCAGAAAUGGUGUUGAUUGUCUAAAAAAAGAAAGUUUGAUUGACACGUGCUGACUUUUGGAACGUUGGCCUGAACAAUGAAAUGGAAUCAACUGUGAAUUUUGAGGAUUUAGUUUCUCUAAAGAACAUAAUGUCAAUUGUACAAAUAAGUAAAAUGUAACUUUUUGUGUUUGUUUUUUUGCAGAUAUGAAAUGCAUAUUUAUAACUUGUCUAACAAGUAGCUCAUUCAAAGGUAUAAAAAAGUAUUUUUUGGCCUGUGUAGGGUAUUAUUUUAACUAUGUAGCCUACAGAAUGCUUGUAUGGGCUCAUGUAGGUGUCUGCGUACGUUUGUAUUUAUAUAACAUAUGUCCGUGUGUAUAGAUUAUGUAUUUUUCAGGGAAGGACCAUAUUUGUGGCUGACCCCUAUGUUGUUGCAACAUGGUGAAAGCCUACAGGAUGUGACCCACACAUGCAUUUGCCUGUAAGGCUGAUUAGUAACAACUACAACUUGGAGCAUUGGUUCAUUUUCAAAGAACAGUCAAAUCAUAACAAAUUAAAUGAUCCAAAUUCCAAUUAUUUGUGGGAAGAAAAACAGAUCCAAUCUUGAGAUCAGAGAACUAUUGUUAUCUCUAAUGAAAUUCAGUAACCAUUCAUAUUGGCAUGGCGUUUCCAUGAUGAUCCAGAAUAGCCUUGUUUGGUUUUGAAGGUAUGUUCCAGUCGAUCCUUUUAUGUUGCCCCUUCAAUUAAAGCAGAAUUGCACUCCAGAUGAUUCAUCCAAUCAUUUGAAGCAAAAUUCUAAAAUGCCACUCUAAAAUUGCGAAUGUUUUGUUUCAAGGGCGUUGGCCCGGUCUCAACAUUGGUAGGGACGAAUAUAAUGCAAAUAAGGUUGCUAAAAAGUUGGUGGGGACAACUUUAGCAUCCUGAAAAGUUGGUCGUGUUAUGUCCCUACCGUCCCUAUGCAAACCUACGCCCUUGUUUUGUUUGCAUGAAUCAUUUAAACCUGACUGGUUGGUGUUCUUAUGCAUGGAAACACGUUUGUAAUUGUUUAACUACUGUAUUUAAUAUAAACCUAUAUUUUCAAUUGCAGAAAACGUUGACAGUCAAUCAACAGGGGGACAUGGAAAGAGAGGAUUGGAAGUGAAAUAGAGGGUUUUUCGGGACAGCCAUAGGGGAAGGACUGUGGCAUCUUCAUGUUGAUGACUGAUAUGCCAACUCUGAGGAAGUGGUGGUGUAUAUUGCUAGCGGACAAUUUCAAACUUGGGUGCAUGGUGAGCCACAGGAAAGAGUUUGCCCAUUGGACAGACAAGGCAAAAGCAUUACUGCAGGGUGAAGUGCCACCAGUCUAUCAGCUACAGAAGUGAAAUUUGAAUAUAAUUGCUGAGGAAGAGGUGCAACCACAGCUCCUUCAAGUUAGUGGUGGCCCACUCCAAAAAGAUACGGCGGGAAAAAAUGUUUUGGUAAAAGGAUUGUGCAAGACAGCACAAAAGCCUCGGACAGGG